GGGGUGCUUCCAUCUGGAAGAAUCUGGAGACAGGUGCUGCAUGGCUGUCGUCAGCUCGUGUCGUGAGAUGUUGGGUUAAGUCCCGCAACGAGCGCAACCCUUGCCUUUAGUUGCCAGCAGUUCGGCUGGGCACUCUAAAGGGACUGCCGGUGUUAAACCGGAGGAAGGUGGGGAUGACGUCAAGUCCUCAUGGCCUUUAUGACCAGGGCUACACACGUACUACAAUGGCCGAUACAAAGGGCAGCGACACUGCGAGGUGAAGCCAAUCCCGUAAAAUCGGUCUCAGUCCGGAUUGGAGUCUGCAACUCGACUCCAUGAAGUUGGAAUCGCUAGUAAUCGUGGAUCAGCAUGCCACGGUGAAUACGUUCCCGGGCCUU
rnacentral:rRNA from 1 species